AUUGAACGCUGGCGGCAGGCCUAACACAUGCAAGUCGAACGGUAACAGGGAUCAGCUUGCUGAUUCGCUGACGAGUGGCGGACGGGUGAGUAAUGUCUGGGAAACUGCCUGAUGGAGGGGGAUAACUACUGGAAACGGUAGCUAAUACCGCAUAACGUCGCAAGACCAAAGAGGGGGACCUUCGGGCCUCUUGCCAUCGGAUGAGCCCAGAUGGGAUUAGCUAGUAGGUGGGGUAACGGCUCACCUAGGCGACGAUCCCUAGCUGGUCUGAGAGGAUGACCAGCCACACUGGAACUGAGACACGGUCCAGACUCCUACGGGAGGCAGCAGUGGGGAAUAUUGCACAAUGGGCGCAAGCCUGAUGCAGCCAUGCCGCGUGUAUGAAGAAGGCCUUCGGGUUGUAAAGUACUUUCAGCGGGGAGGAAGGGAGUAAAGUUAAUACCUGUGCUCAUUGACGUUACCCGCAGAAGAAGCACCGGCUAACUCCGUG
rnacentral:rRNA from 1 species